GCAAAGUGGCCGAUCAAUAUAUGGGACAAGUGGGGGCGGGGGGGCGGACUCUAAGGUGGAAAAAACAAUACUACUUGGGAUUUAAGGAAGCAAUCUGGAUUCUGUCUCCCCUUGGUUCUUCGGAGCUUAGAGGUCUAACGGCGACAUUCCUCCUACAGGCAGCAAGACUGGUGCCAAGACGGAGUCGUGGCAAAAGCAUCCGGAGGACAUUUUAAUCCACUUGCAGCCUCCUGCCUAGAGAAUCUAUAGAGGCGGGUCUUCCUUAAUAUAUGUCAGCAGUGGAGUGGUGUGCUUAAGGAGAGAGAGACUUGGAAAAAUACAGACCGAGAACAAGGCCAUGUGGAGAUAGAGGCAGAGACUGAAGUUGUACCACCAAAGGCUGAACAGUGGGGGUGGAGGAAGA
rnacentral:lncRNA from 10 species